GACGAACGCUGGCGGCGUGCCUAAUACAUGCAAGUAGAACGCACAGUUUAUACCGUAGCUUGCUACACCAUAGACUGUGAGUUGCGAACGGGUGAGUAACGCGUAGGUAACCUGCCUGGUAGCAGGGGAUAAAUAUUGGAAACGUUAGCUAAUACAGCAUGAUAUUGAUUAUUGCAUGAUAAUUGAUUGAAAGAUGCUAUUUCAUCAAUACCAGCUGGACCUGCGUUGUAUUUGCUAGUAGGUGAGGUUACGGCUCACCUAGGGGACGAUACAUAGCCGACCUGAGAGGGGGAUCGGCCACACUGGGACUGAGACACGGCCCAGACUCCUACGGGAGGCAGCAGUAGGGAAUCUUCGGCAAUGGACGAAAGUCUGACCGAGCAACGCCGCGUGAGUGAAGAAGGUUUUCGGAUCGUAAAGAUCUGUUGUAAGAGAAGAACGGGAGUGAGAGUGGAAAGUUCACACUGUGACGGUAUCUUACCAGAAAGGGACGGCUAACUACGUG
rnacentral:rRNA from 1 species